rnacentral:rRNA from 1 species
AAUCAACGCUGGCGGCGUGCCUAACACAUGCAAGUCGAACGAGAAAGUGGAGCAAUCCAUGAGUAAAGUGGCGCACGGGUGAGUAACACGUGACUAACCUACCCUUGAGUGGGGGAUAACCUAGGGAAACCUGGGCUAAUACCGCAUAAUACCUACGGGUCAAAGGAGCAAUUCGCUUUAGGAGGGGGUCGCGGCAGAUUAGUUAGUUGGCGGGGUAAUGGCCCACCAAGACGAUGANCUGUAUCCGGCCUGAGAGGGCGCACGGACACACUGGAACUGAAACACGGUCCAGACUCCUACGGGAGGCAGCAGUGGGGAAUUUUGCGCAAUGGGGAAACCCUGACGCAGCAACGCCGCGUGGAGGAUGAAGACCCUUGGGUCGUAAACUCCUUUCGAUCGGGACGAUAAUGACGGUACCGGAAGGAGAAGCCCCGGCUAACUUCGUGCC